AGAUUAAGUUAUUAAGGGCGCACGGUGGAUGCCUUGGCACUAGAAGCCGAUGAAGGACGUUACUAACGACGAUAUGCUUUGGGGAGCUGUAAGUAAGCUUUGAUCCAGAGAUUUCCGAAUGGGGAAACCCAGCAUGAGUUAUGUCAUGUUAUCGAUAUGUGAAUACAUAGCAUAUCAGAAGGCACACCCGGAGAACUGAAACAUCUUAGUACCCGGAGGAAGAGAAAGAAAAUUCGAUUCCCUUAGUAGCGGCGAGCGAAACGGGAAGAGCCCAAACCAACAAGCUUGCUUGUUGGGGUUGUAGGACACUCUAUACGGAGUUACAAAGGACGACAUUAGACGAAUCAUCUGGAAAGAUGAAUCAAAGAAGGUAAUAAUCCUGUAGUCGAAAAUGUUGUCUCUCUUGAGUGGAUCCUGAGUACGACGGGACACGUGAAAUUCCGUCGGAAUCUGGGAGGACCAUCUCCUAAGGCUAAAUACUCUCUAGUGACCGAUAGUGAACCAGUACCGUGAGGGAAAGGUGAAAAGCACCCCGGAAGGGGAGUGAAAUAGAACCUGAAACCGUGUGCUUACAAGUAGUCAGAGCCCGUUAAUGGGUGAUGGCGUGCCUUUUGUAGAAUGAACCGGCGAGUUACGAUUUGAUGCAAGGUUAAGCAGUAAAUGUGGAGCCGUAGCGAAAGCGAGUCUGAAUAGGGCGUUUAGUAUUUGGUCGUAGACCCGAAACCAGGUGAUCUACCCUUGGUCAGGUUGAAGUUCAGGUAACACUGAAUGGAGGACCGAACCGACUUACGUUGAAAAGUGAGCGGAUGAACUGAGGGUAGCGGAGAAAUUCCAAUCGAACCUGG
rnacentral:rRNA from 1 species